CUUCCAUAAAUUGUUCUAAAUUUAAAAGUAGUGCAACACAAUUUAUGCAGGACAGUAUACCACAAUAGAAUGACAGAAUACUUGCAUGGAACUUUGCAAAGGUUAUUCAUUUAUUAGGUUGGUUUUACAACCAUGUAAAGGAAGUAGUUCCUGGACUUAUGGGGAUUGCUGUAGCUGUGAGAGGUACUAAAUUCUAAUGAAUUCUAGUUUGGAUUCCACCUUAUGCCCAGCAUUACAGCCCAAAGGAACUUCCAUUUGCCGACCGCAUUUUUUCAUGAAAUCUUGGUCUGGAUCUUCCUGGACCCGAGCAACCAUUCAAUUUCUACCUGACCUUCCCAUGGAUGCAUUGCUGAGAUCCCUCAAUAUUAAACUGGAGAAUUGCCAUUCUAAUGCUGUGCCAAUCAGAGCUGAUAAAGGACUGAAUGUAACAUACACAGCAGUGAAGACUUUAGUCUUCUGGAUUAAGAAGUAAAGACUGGGACAUGACAACAAGUUACGCUUACAAAGCAUCUGCCAUGUGUGAAAGCAUCUCGAAACACCUUACUGCAGGCACAAAGCGCGACGAAGGAUCAGUGAGCAGGAAGAACAGGCUUGUUCCUGACCCUUCAGUCAAACUGAUGUCACUCAUCUCUACCUCCUGAACUCCUCCUGUGCCCCACCCAGCAGCAUCUGAAUAGCAAGUAGCAGGUUAUUUUGAAGACCCUGACCUGGAGUUACAUGCUGACUUUGGUUCUUUGCAGAAGUGGGACCUGCUCUCGGGGUCUCAUGACUGGCCGCUUUUCGAUAUGCCAAGGAUGCGGCCUGGAAGACUAGUGCGCCUUCAGAGUGCUGGAUUUUCGUGGCCCUGGAGGCGGGUGGAUUGAAGGCCGGUGCCAUUGCCUGAUGUGUCAUGGGAGUACACAGAAGAUCGAGAGCAGCGAGCUGGUUGCUGGCUGUGUGCCAAGACACCCGAGUUCUUUGGGCACAGAGCUCGUAAAAAGCAAUGCAACAGACUUUUAACACCAUAAAUCAUCAGGUAACAAGUCAAGAAAGCUGCAAGUGAAAAGAAGUGGUUAAUACCUUAUGGAAACCGGAAUUGCCCUUUUUUGACAUCAGUGUGGUAAAUUUGGAUACAUGGUGACCACAGGGACUGAGCACAAGGAAGUGCAUGACAGAAAGAUCCAGGCCAUUAAUGUUUUUGUUCAAGCACUUGUCGUGAUGCCUAUUAACUGGCUGUGUGAUAUGGAUACUCUGCUUUUAAUUUCCUGGUAAUAUGAGUGUUGAAAUAGCCUCUUUCUGGUUUUCCCGCUCUCUCUUGCUCAUCAACAGAACAAACACUCACAAUUAUCUGCAAGCUGAAACCAAGAGACAGAUUGCGUUCCUAAGGCUAAAAGGCAGGACGCUGCCUCUGUGGUGAUAUCAUGUGCAAUGAUGUGGCAGUACAUGAUUGGACAGCACUGAACAUGCGCGUCAUUAAGACGUGUUUGUAUAUAGCUGUAGAUAAAAGUUCUCUAAUUUUUCCAGAAUAUGAUUCUUUACUGUUAACCCACGGUACAUUCAAAUAGAAGAAAUAUAACAUGGUGUCAGAAGUGUUUCUGGAAGAAUAAUAUGGGAGAAUCGAGAAUCAAAAAUAAUUGAAAAAAAGAAGAAAAAAGUUUGAACUAAUAUGGAACGUAACCCCACCAAAACUUCAGCUGACUGGGAAUGUAGCGGAGAAUUGGAGGAUCUUCAAGCAACAGUUUAAGCUGUACUUAUCCGCGAUCAAUUAUGAAGAGAAAUCAGAAAAAAACAAAGCUGUGCUUUUGCUCCAUAUAAUCAGAAAUGAAGCAGUAGAAGUAUAUAAUAAUUUUGUCUUCGAAGAUGGAGAUAAUUUCAAUUUAAAGUCGAUAAUGGACAGAUUUGAAGUAUUUUGUAUACCUAAGCGGAACUUAAUGUAUGAACGAUAUAAAUUCUUCACAUGCGUAAAAGGCUGCUGAAAUAGUUGAUCAGUAUGUUACAGAGUUAAGAAAGCACAGUAGAGCAUGCAAGUUUGGAUUGCUCACAGACUCUCUAAUUAAAGAUAGAAUAGUUUGUGGCAUUUGGAAUAAUGCUCUAAGAGAAAGGCUUUUGCGUGAGCAAGAUUUAAAUAUUGAAAAAGCUUUCGCGCUCUGCAAAGCUUCUGAGACUGUAAUGUCGCAGGCUGAAGAGCUUUUUGUCGAAAACUGCAAUGUAAACGCUGUAAAAAGAGCGAAUAUAUCAAGAAAUAUAAUAAUACGUUGACAAAACCGACGGAGAGCAAGAAGGCAUUUGAAAAAAAAGUCAUGUGAUCGCUGUGCACGGGAACACCGUCCAAAUCAGCGUGUUUCGCAUAUGGCAACUUUGCUACAACUGUAGUAAGAUUAAUCCUUUUUCAUGCUAUUGUAGAAGUAGAAAGAAGGAAAAUAAAAUGAAACGAGUAAAUGCAGUGAUUGAAGAUGAACGUGAGGAAUUUUAUAUAGAUGUGCUUUAUGAAAAUGCUGUCAUGGGGAAUAUAAAAGCAGCAGCUGCAGUGUUUGAGACGACCAAACAGGAGGCAAUUGAUGAUGUGAAAAAGCAAUGGCAGGAAGAGAUUGCUUCAAUGCAAGCGAUAAUGAAAUAGACACUGUGAGAAUAUGAGAUUCAGUCUAAUCACCGUCUAGAGCAAGAACGCUCACAGUGGGCACAGUAUAAGGAAGAAGUGAAAGCACAAGUAAUGGAAUUGAGCAGUUUUAUUGAAGUUAUUGAACUGAUGAAGUCUCAGCAUAAAAAAGAGUACACAGUCAAUGUAUGAAUUAGAUGAAGAAAAGAUGUGAUUCUUCAGAGAUUCAGUUAACUGAUGAAGACAAGACAAAACAUGUAAAUAAUAACAAGGAAACACAAGAACUGUGUGUACCACUUACAAACUCUACUCGUAUUUGUAAACCCACAAAGAGACUGAUAGAGACUUGUUGAAUUGUGUAUUUGCUUUGAUUAAUGUUGCUAAUUGUUUUUCUUUUAAGGAAAGGAAGAUGUGGUGCUAUCACCUGCAAUGAUGUGCCAGUACAUGAUUGGACAGCACUGAGCAUGCGCGGGGCUUGCCAGUAUGUUCCAGCACAUGUCGUGAUUAAGACGUGUCUGUAUAUAGCUGUAAAUAAAAAUUCUCUAAUUCUUCCAGAAUAUGAUUCUCUACUGUU